UGGAAUGCGCAGAUAUCAGGAGGAACACCGGUGGCGAAUGCGGGUCUCUGGGCAGUAACUGACGCUGAGGAGCGAAAGCGUGGGGAGCGAACAGGAUUAGAUACCCUGGUAGUCCACGCCGUAAACGGUGGGUACUAGGUGUGGGUCUCCUUCCUUGGGAUCCGUGCCGUAGCUAACGCAUUAAGUACCCCGCCUGGGGAGUACGGCCGCAAGGCUAAAACUCAAAGAAAUUGACGGGGGCCCGCACAAGCGGCGGAGCAUGUGGAUUAAUUCGAUGCAACGCGAAGAACCUUACCUGGGUUUGACAUGCACAGGACGCCGGCAGAGAUGUCGGUUCCCUUGUGGCCUGUGUGCAGGUGGUGCAUGGCUGUCGUCAGCUCGUGUCGUGAGAUGUUGGGUUAAGUCCCGCAACGAGCGCAACCCUUGUCUCAUGUUGCCAGCGGGUAAUGCCGGGGACUCGUGAGAGACUGCCGGGGUCAACUCGGAGGAAGGUGGGGAUGACGUCAAGUCAUCAUGCCCCUUAUGUCCAGGGCUUCACACAUGCUACAAUGGCCGGUACAAAGGGCUGCGAUGCCGCGAGGUUAAGCG
rnacentral:rRNA from 1 species